GUUAUGCUUUUCUUAUCAAUAAAUGAAGAGUUAUUUCAAGAUUUCCAUCAAUUGAGUUUUAACCGUAGAUGGGAGGAGUUUCUAGCAGCAAAACAAGCUAAAAUAGACCAUGGUUCAUCAGUCCUUUUAUGGUGCAAACAAGCAACACUGAAUUUGAUGUCAACUGUCAACCAGCUGUUUCCAAAAUUACUGCUAGUAAAUUUUUUCAAGUCCAAGCUCCAACACAAGAAUGGCUGACAGCUCAUUCAUUAGAUAAACGCCAAAACGCCAAAAGCAUAUACACUUAUCUCCUUAACAUAGACGAGAAAUAAAUGAGUCACAAGCAGCCAACUUAACUUCCA
rnacentral:misc_RNA from 1 species